rnacentral:rRNA from 1 species
CCUACGGGAGGCUGCAGUGAGGAAUAUUGGUCAAUGGGCGCGAGCCUGAACCAGCCAAGUAGCGUGAAGGAUGACUGCACUACGGGUUGUAAACUUCUUUUAUAAAGGAAUAAAGUGAGGCACGUGUGCCUUUUUGUAUGUACUUUAUGAAUAAGGAUCGGCUAACUCCGUGCCAGCAUCCGCGGUAAUCCGGAGGAUCCGAGCGUUAUCCGGAUUUAUUGGGUUUAAAGGGAGCGUAGAUGGGUUGUUAAGUCAGUUGUGAAAGUUUGCGGCUCAACCGUAAAAUUGCAAUGGAUACUGGCAGGCUGGAGUACAGUUGAGGUAGGCGGAAUUCGUGGUGUAGCGGUGAAAUGCUUAGAUAUCACGAAGAACUCCGAUGGCGAAGGCAGCUUACUAAACUGCAACUGACAUUGAUGCUCGAAAGUGUGGGUAUCAAACAGGAUUAGAUACCCGAGUAGUC